CGUGCAUCACCUUGGAGAAGAAGACCAAAAAUUUUCCUUCAUUUCACCUCAUUUUCUUGCACCAAAUCACCUCAAAUUCACACUACACCUUGCAAAUAACUUGGAGAUCAACUUAAGUUAGGAAAGAAACUUCAACCUCACGGUUUUCUUGAGCUUCAAAGGACCAAAAAUUUCUGCUCUAGCAACAUCUAGGAGGCACUCAAGAGGACUUUCAAGAGGAUCCCACGGUGGAUGGCUGAAUCCUCAAGUGUGCUUUACUUCUUGAAUUACUUGGUAUGGACAUGGAGCGAAACUCGGAGAAACCCUUUGGAUGUACUUUUAUAUUAGGGUUUUAAAUGUAAUUGAUUAGACAUUGUGGAUGUUGUAUAUUUUGAAAAUUGAUGUAUCUUUUGGGAACCUAGUGUAAGAAUUGGAUAACUGAUGUAUCUUGAACUCGUGGUGUAAGAUUUGGAUAUUCGAUUAUGGAAGCGACUUUUCCUUUA